UACGGAGGGUGCAAGCGUUAUCCGGAAUCAUUGGGUUUAAAGGGUCCGCAGGCGGUCUAAUAAGUCAGUGGUGAAAGCCUACAGCUCAACUGUAGAACUGCCAUUGAUACUGUUAGACUUGAAUUCGGUCGAAGUGGGCGGAAUGUGACAUGUAGCGGUGAAAUGCUUAGAUAUGUCACAGAACACCGAUAGCGAAGGCAGCUCACUAGGCCUGGAUUGACGCUCAGGGACGAAAGCGUGGGGAGCAAACAGGG
rnacentral:rRNA from 1 species